UACGUAGGGCGCAAGCGUUGUCCGGAAUUAUUGGGCGUAAAGAGCUCGUAGGCGGUUUGUCGCGUCUGCUGUGAAAACCUAAGGCUCAACCUUGGGCUUGCAGUGGGUACGGGCAGACUAGAGUGCGGUAGGGGUGACUGGAAUUCCUGGUGUAGCGGUGGAAUGCGCAGAUAUCAGGAAGAACACCCGUGGCGAAGGCGGCUCUCUGGACAGUUCCUGACAGCUGAGACACGGAAGGCCAGGGGAGCAAACGGG
rnacentral:rRNA from 1 species